AUCAGCCCCAGAAUGGCACUUUUUGCCCAUCUGUAUUGGGCCUUAGUCUCCAGUUUGCUACAAACAAUUGCCUCUGCCCUUUGCUGUGACUGACUGACUGGUAUUGUGUGAUUCUUAGACUGGACUCUGGAGUACUCCUUUGCAUAUUCCCCUGCUAUGCUGCCCUCAGUAAAGAUGUCGAUCUCUUGAGAGACACAAGAUAAUAAUAAAAAAGAGACAGAUGCAUUAUGCAACUUGCAUCGUAUAGAACAGCAGUGAGAAACUAGGACCCAGAACAAUGGAUGCAAGCUCCAGG